GAGUUUGAUCUUGGCUCAGGAUGAACGCUGGCGGCGUGCCUAAUACAUGCAAGUCGAGCGAACGGACGAGAAGCUUGCUUCUCUGAUGUUAGCGGCGGACGGGUGAGUAACACGUGGAUAACCUACCUAUAAGACUGGGAUAACUUCGGGAAACCGGAGCUAAUACCGGAUGAUAUUUUGAACCGCAUGGUUCAGAAGUGAAAGACGGUCUUGCUGUCACUUAUAGAUGGAUCCGCGCUGCAUUAGCUAGUUGGUAAGGUAACGGCUUACCAAGGCAACGAUGCAUAGCCGACCUGAGAGGGUGAUCGGCCACACUGGAACUGAGACACGGUCCAGACUCCUACGGGAGCAGCAGUAGGGAAUCUUCCGCAAUGGGCGAAAGCCUGACGGAGCAACGCCGCGUGAGUGAUGAAGGUCUUCGGAUCGUAAAACUCUGUUAUUAGGGAAGAACAUAUGUGUAAGUAACUGUGCACAUCUUGACGGUACCUAAUCAGAAAGCCACGGCU
rnacentral:rRNA from 1 species